GACAGAGAGAGACAAAGUACAAGUACCACAAAGUAAAAACCUCCAAACACCUCAAAGUUACGGUGUUUAAGUUUAGCACUUUUGGUUACUGGUGGUUAUUGCAAAUGUGUUUUAAUGAUCAGUUACAGGUCCCAGAGUACUGUCAAGUCCAGACUGCAUAAAUGGUUCCUGUGAGUCUCUCGUGCAAAGGGUCACAAGCUCUGAUUUCGUUUUGCCCAUCCAUUCAGUCCCGCAAGGUGAGAACCAGCCGAGAAGAGCACCAGCCGCCAGUCUCUGGCAGCAGCAGGUAACCGGUCACACAGCAGCUGAUAGUUAAUGAGACAGCUAGCCAACUGCCAGUUAGCAGCCACCUGGCCAGCCAGCAGCUGGUGACCAGCCCCUGAACCAGCCAGACACCAUUAGGCAGCUACCAAUCUGUCACCCAGGGAGCCAACAGGGAGCCAGCAAUACUACAGAAGGUUCACAAGGACAACCUGACUAAGACUGAGAUGGGAAAAAAUAAGUCACUACAGCAGUCAGGUGCCCAGAUUCAGUUGAAAGCCAAGGACAGGGAAAAGGGUUUACAUGAUCUUCAUCCUGACCUCUGAUAUGUUGAAGGAGCGGGGCAACAUGCACAAAUAAAGAAUGUUGCCACUUAAA